rnacentral:rRNA from 1 species
UUUACCUACGGGAGGCAGCAGUGGGGAAUAUUGCACAAUGGGCGAAAGCCUGAUGCAGCAACGCCGCGUGAAGGAAGACGGUUUUCGGAUUGUAAACUUCUGUUCUUAGUGAAGAAUAAUGACGGUAACUAAGGAGCAAGCCACGGCUAACUACGUGCCAGCAGCCGCGGUAAUACGUAGGGGGCAAGCGUUAUCCGGAUUUACUGGGUGUAAAGGGAGCGUAGACGGCAUAGCAAGUCUGAAGUGAAAGCCCAAGGCUCAACCAUGGGACUGCUUUGGAAACUGUUAAGCUAGAGUGCUGGAGG